rnacentral:tRNA from 1 species
AGCGGGGUAGAGCAGUAGGUAGAUCGUGGGCCUCAUAAGCCCAAGUCGCCGGUUCGAGUCCGGCCCCCGCUCCA